UGUGCGUGACAAUCACAUGUGAUAUAUCGCCCAGCCCUAGUUUACUCUUAGGGGAAAGCUUGCGUAUACAUUGUAAUACUUUCUAAAAUGGCGGACGACGUAACUCGGAGGAGAAGAAUGGUUGAGUAAAUUGCUAUUUUUGUUUUCUUUGCGCAAAAAAAGUAUUCUUGUAGCAUCACAAAACUGAAGUUGAGCCAGUAAUGUCACAUGGACUGUUUUACUCAUGUAUUUACUACAUUUCUGGACCUGGGAACAUUUCAGUUGUGUUACUGUCCAUGGAGGGUCAGAUAGCUCUCCGAUUUCAUCAAAUAUAUCUUCAUUUGUGUUCCGAAGGUAAAUGAAGGUCUUACGGGUUUGGAACAACAUGAGGGUGAGUAAUUAAUGACAUAAUUUUCAUUUUGGGGUGAACUAACCCUUUAAUGAUCAACACUAUCAGACAUUAUCUAGUGUGAACCGCUUGCUGAACAGUUACAUGGUGACACUGCUUCAUGCUCUUUUUCAAAAACAUUUGGAACCUGAUUCUGAUUGAUGUGGGAGAGAAAAAUGUAAGGGAUCGUGCUCACUGUUAGCUUUUCUUUAUACAUUUUCCUUGCCUUUACCAUGCUGCCUUACCUAAGUACACUUACAAGAGCUAUUUUACCAAGGUCUGGAGAGUACACUGACUUCACGCUUAUGAAACGAAAAGUUGAUGGUGCAUUUGAAGUUCAGAGCAUUCACGUCAGAAGACUACAUCUUUAUUGAAUUUGGAAAAAGACAAAAAAUGCUUUGUAUUACUGCUUCAAAGUGAAAUAAAACAAAAGUGAAACAAGAACAGUUCCAACAGUUCAUUGUGUAGUUGUUGACUUCUCAGAUUUAGUUUAGAUAUGUAUAUUUAUUUAUUCAUUAAUUUAUUUAUAAAUGCAAAUUUAUUCACCAGUAGUUUUCGGAUUUAUAGGGAGCACAAAAAACUGUGACCACCUACACUAUAAAUGCCUCUAAUUAGAGUCCAUUAAUGGUUUUAUAAAGACUUGAAUGGAUAUGUAGGGAGAAGAUGACAAUGAGCUGAAAAUAACUAUUUUUAUUUUAUAUGUAAAGAAAGGAACCAUCUGAUAAAUAAGUGGCACAGCUUUGGGGAAUCAACUGGGACACUAGUCAAUUAUUAUAAGCUUUAAAAACAUAUGACUACAGAAUAAUCACAAUCGACCAACCAGAAUCGAGUUUUACAGAUACUGUAUUACUAUUUAUUCAUGCAUUAAUUUUGGUCAGUUUGGAUUUUCUCCUCUUUCUGAUCUUUCAUCACCUCGGUAUAAAGGACUGAUAUAAAACAGAUCUCAUUCUAAAAUGUAAUUUUUUAUGAAGAGAGGAUUUAGCCUUAUACUGUGCUUUUUUUUUGUCUCUGUAAAUUACUAUUUGUGCGUUUAUGUGUAAUUGGAUGGUUUAAGGUUCUUGACGAAGAUGUAGGCAGGGGUUUAUAAUAAGUGAUUUUCAUGUAUCCUCUUACUCUGUAUACACAUAUCUAACAUCUUUGGUAUUUGAAGUAUUUAUACUGUUGCCUG
ensembl:lncRNA